GGGAUACAGAAAUAACAGAACGACCCACCAAGUCAAAUGAUACAACAAAGAUUUUCUGUAAGAUCACAAUGUUGCCUAUGACCAGUUUGUGCAGGCAUCAUUACCUUACAAAAACUUUGCCUUUCAGACUCUCCACAUUCUGAAUAUACAUCAUUGCCUAAUAAGAAUCAAGGAGAGCUUGGUUUGUGCUGACGCAAGAAAAUUAACCAAGUUGAUUCAUUUCGUCCCAGGUUUCAUACUGAAAACUCGAAAAUUCGUUUUACACUUGCGAAGAGAAUUGGAUUACAUAAUUUUGUCUUCGGGAUGAGGUUGCCUGUCCUUGCGGACUUGUUCGGCCUCUCAAAUCCCAGCACUCUUAUAUUAGCAAUAUCUCAGAUGACGACUUUUUCUCAACUCUAUGCUUCGUAGACUUCAAUUAAUUUGUGGAAGAGAAAGAAAAGAUAGAAUAAAAAGGUUAAAGAUUUAACUUUGAACUAUGUGAGAAUGACAUCAAAAUUACUAAGAUUCCACUCUGCAACUUCUUCUUUAUCGCUGACGAAAAUUUCAGUACCCGUAUCAAUGGAUGUCCAAAUUCUUCUAGCAGGAGGGGUACCUGGAUCCUGAUAGAAGUACAGUCUACUAGACAGUGCACCCGCAUCAAGCUCCCAAGUUCUGGCAUCCCCAACCCAACCAUCCCCUUGUUUUGUUGGAUAGCCAUAUUGAGCCCAUAUGGGAUGAGGCAGCAACUGAACUAGCUCUUGUGCCUGAGGAUUGCUAUAAGGAUCACAAGUGCUUACUGGUUUCUCCAAAAAUUGGGCAUUCCCUGGAGCACAGUAGUAGUGAUAAGCCCCAUAGGGGAAGUUGGCUGUAUCAUUCCUGUGAAUUUUUGUGUUAUUUGGGGUAAUGUGAUAUGGUGGGCAGUUCUCUAGACUACUGGGACCACACCAAGCAGGAGUUGCAGGAUUGAUGAUCAUCUCACUGUAUCUGGUUACAUCAGUGAGUACAUCUCCAUCACAAGGAUCACCAUUGUUUUUCCAGCAGCUACCAAUAUCUAUUAAAUAGAACUGGCUCUUGGAUCCUCCCCCUUGCUUGACAUCCAAUGUCACUUUAACCUUGAAAUUGGGUGACUCUGGAAGAAUUUUGAGCAUGCCUCUUGUGUCAUAGUGAUACCCUCCAGAAAAUCCUUUGGUUGCAUCAGCUCUGAGGUACAGCAUCAACCAUGGGUACUUCUUAGAGGUUUUGAGCUUAUGGCCGAAGACCCAACUUCCAGCACCAACUUUUUUCUCCCAAACCACUUCAUAAAAAGAGAUUCCGCUAAGUCCACCACCAAUUUCAGCACCCAAAUCAUAAGUCCCAUUGAAACUUCCUCUCAAAGUAUCACCAUCUAUGAGCUUAGUUCGUUGAUGAUACAAUAUAGGUUGAUUCAUACACCCAUCUCCAAAGCAAGGAAACCUUCCUGGACUAAAAGGGGGUACCCUUUUCCCAUUCUGAGGACACAAACCAGACUUAGUAUCAUAGUUGCCAUUUUUAAGCAUCACCAUCCAAAACUGCCAUGGAUUUGGCUUAUCUUCAACUUCACACAAAGAACCCAGAUAAAUCUCCUUAUGCGCUGCAUAAAGAUCUGCAUUGCUUAAAGCUCCUGGGGACAAACCUGAGAAUGGUUUGCCUACCCCAAGUUUGUUAUCAGCUUCUGUUACUUUGUGCUUAAGUUUAGGACUCUUUAGUUCUGCUUGUUUUCUUCUAUGGCGGUUGUGCUUACUUGAGAGAUCAAAGCAAUCAGCAGCUCUUGGACUUCCCAUACCAGGAGCUUCUUGGCCAACCUCAUUGCAGAAAUUCCAAGCUUCAAAGGCCACUCUCAGUCCAUCUCUUCUCAUUCCUGGGUCUCCCACAGCAGAGCUGUACUGUUCCCCUCUUACACAAGAAACAGAUAAAAGAAUGACAUUUACCAAGAAAAGCAGCGAAUGCAAAAUGGUUUCCAUGGCCACUCCCAUGGUUGCUCUGCUUUAGAAACAGAGCUAAGAAAUGGCUGUUUAUAUAUAUGAGAGAGAGAGAGAGAGAGAGA
rnacentral:misc_RNA from 1 species